ensembl:lncRNA
GGUCAAAAAACGUGUUGAAAAACAAGUCAAAAAAGUAAAAAAUAUUCAUGAAAAAAAGUUGAAAAAUAUUAGGUCAAAAACGGUUUUGAAAAAAAGCUAAAAUAUGUUUAGGGUUGGCUCAGGGUUAUAGUUUCUUGCUGGCUCAUUUUAAUGGUUAGGGCUGGACGGUGGAAGGUGAAAGAACAAAAUAAUAUGUUUGGCCGGUUUACAGGAAACCAUGAAACCAGAACACGGUGCCUCUGUAACAUCAAGCACCAGCAUGAGGGAGUGACGCUGUGUAAUGUGAGGCCCGUUAUGCUGCACUUCAGCUUUUUUAUUUGGAAUUCAAACGUUGAGUCAUUUCUUCUUGUGUCACACAGAAAGGUUUGCUAUGUUAUACAUAUAUAAUCAAAUAUCUAGCAUCCAAAUUCUUUGGCAAGUUUUAGUUUUAUUAAAAUUCGAUAAUAGUAGAUAAUGGAUUGCUUCUCUAAUCCAAACUUUUCCUUUUACCUACACUUACACACAGAACCAGUCAAAGGGUUGGAUACACAUUCUGAUGGAAUUGAAUGAGAAAAUGUGUCAAAAUCUUUGCUGGUACUGUAAAUAUCACAAUAAGUAAUCUUCAUAUUCAUGGUCCUCAGAUGAUGGAUCUUCAUGUUUUUUAAUUAAUUGUUUUCUAUCCUGUGUCAAGUACAGAAUGCUUCUUCUUUCACAGAGCGGAAUGCUUCACGAGAAGUCCGACAUGCAGGACCCCCUAACUCCAGGAUGCUGCAGAACUACAGGAUGCUGAGGACUCCAGGAUGCUGAGGACUACAGGAUGCUACAGAACUCCAGGAUGCUGAGGACUAAAGGAUGCUGAGGAAUACAGGAUGCUGAGGACUAAAGGAUGCUGAGGAAUACAGGAUGCUGCAGAACUCCAGGAUGCUGAGGACUCCAGGAUGCUGAGGACUCCAGGAUGCUGAGGACUAAAGGAUGCUACAGAACUCCAGGAUGCUGAGGACUCCAUGAUGCUGAGGACUAAAGGAUGCUGAGGACUACAGGAUGCUACAGAACUCCAGGAUGCUGCAGAAUUACAGGAUGCUGAGGACUCCAGGAUGCUGAGGACUCCAGGAUGCUGAGGACUCCAGGAUGCUGAGGACUCCAGGAUGCUGAGGACUCCAGGAUGCUGCAGAACUCCAGGAUGCUACAGAACUACAGGAUGCUGAGGACUACAGGAUGCUACAGAACUCCAGGAUGCUGCAGGACUACAGGAUGCUGCAGGACUACAGGAUGCUGCAGGACUCCAGGAUGCUGAGGACUCCAUGAUGCUGAGGACUCCAUGAUGCUGAAGACUGUAGGAUGCUGAGGACUAAAGGAUGCUACAGAACUCCAGGAUGCUGAGGACUACAGGAUGCUGAGUACUACAGGAUGCUGCAGGACUACAGGAUGCUGAGUACUACAGGAUGCUGCAGGACUACAGGAUGCUGAGUACUACAGGAUGCUGCAGGACUCCAGGAUGCUGAGGACUCCGGGAUGCGACACCCAUCCACCUUUUUCCGUUUUGUAACAUUUGCAGCACAACAAUGAUGUAAGGCCUCCAGUGAACUGCAGAGGGAGCAAAGGGCAGAAUGCAGGAAUGCAGGAGGCUCACAAAGUGUGCAGAAAGGAGGCUUUCAAACGAAGGCCGCC